rnacentral:misc_RNA from 1 species
CGCCGAAUCAAGGGGGGAAAAAGGGGGGGAAAAAGUUCAAGUUGAGCUAAAUACUGGAAGCUUCGAUCCGAUUAGUUAAAACAUUGUGAUCAUUGUUUGUUGCAAAGAAAAUGAAGGAGUUGAGGAGAUUCAGAUUUCUAAGAACUUGAGAAAAUUAACUAAACAGAGACUGACUGAGACAGAGAGAGGGGAGAGAGUUGGCACCUGAAAAGACCACCGAGUGAGGG